rnacentral:rRNA from 1 species
GACGAACGCUGGCGGCGUGCUUAACACAUGCAAGUCGAACGGAUUGCUUGGUGCUUGCACUGAGUGGUUAGUGGCGAACGGGUGAGUAACACGUGAGUAACCUGCCCCCUUCUUUGGGAUAAGCACCUGAAAGGGUGUCUAAUACUGAUUAUUCUGUUGGAAUCGCAUGGUUUUGGUUGGAAAGGUUUUUGUGGUGGGGGAUGGGCUCGGGGCUUAUCAGCUUGUUGGUGGGGUAAUGGCUUACCAAGGCGUUGACGGGUAACCGGCCUGAGAGGGUGACCGGUCACAUUGGGACUGAGAUACGGACCAGACUCCUACGGGAGGCAGCAGUGGGGAAUAUUGCACAAUGGACGAAAGUCUGAUGCAGCGACGCCGCGUGAGGGAUGAAGGCCUUCGGGUUGUAAACCUUUUUCGCUUUUGACCAAGGCAGCAUUUUGGUGUUGUUGAGGGUAUGAGGUAAAGAAGCUCCGGCUAACUACGUGCCAGCAGCCGCUGUAAGAC